rnacentral:rRNA from 1 species
AGUGAACGCUGGCGGUAGGCCUAACACAUGCAAGUCGAACGGCAGCACAGGAGAGCUUGCUCUCUGGGUGGCGAGUGGCGGACGGGUGAGGAAUACAUCGGAAUCUACUCUGUCGUGGGGGAUAACGUAGGGAAACUUACGCUAAUACCGCAUACGACCUACGGGUGAAAGCAGGGGACCUUCGGGCCUUGCGCGAUUGAAUGAGCCGAUGUCGGAUUAGCUAGUUGGCGGGGUAAAGGCCCACCAAGGCGACGAUCCGUAGCUGGUCUGAGAGGAUGAUCAGCCCCGAUGGAACUGAGACACGGUCCAGACUCCUACGGGAGGCAGCAGUGGGGAAUAUUGGACAAUGGGCGCAAGCCUGAUCCAGCCAUACCGCGUGGGUGAAGAAGGCCUUCGGGUUGUAAAGCCCUUUUGUUGGGAAAGAAAUCCAGCUGGCUAAUACCCGGUUGGGAUGACGGUACCCAAAGAAUAAGCACCGGCUAACUUCGUGCCAGCCGCCGCAGUAA